rnacentral:rRNA from 1 species
GGCACUUUUAAAAUCCAUACCCACCUUGUGUGCAUCGUUAGUCAUGUUCCUUGUUCUCUCUUGAGAGGACGAGGAGGCAGGCUUCAAAUUAAUCUAUCUUUAACCAGUUUGUCUGAAGCAAUGUAUCAUGAGUUAACAUAAUUCUAAAAUACAACUUUCAACAACGGAUCUCUUGGCUCUCGCAUCGAUGAAGAACGCAGCGAAAUGCGAUACGUAAUGUGAAUUGCAGAAUUCAGUGAAUCAUCGAGUCUUUGAACGCACAUUGCGCUCUCUGGUAUUCCGGAGAGCAUGCUUGUUUGAGUAUCAGUAAAACACCCUCAGCCUUUUCUUUAUUGAAAAAGCUGGACUUGAGUGAUCCCAACGGUUUUUUUUAAAAGGCUGGCGGGUUGCUUGAAAUGCAGGUGCGGCUGGACACAUCUUCUGAGCUAUAAGCAUUACCUAUUUAGUCCCGUCAAACGGAUUAUUUCUAUUGCUACAGCUAAUAUAAAGGUCGAUUGUCCUUGUGCCCGACUGAUGCAGGAAAACAUGGAGAAAUCCUUGUUCAACUCGAUCUCAAAUCAAGUAAGACUACCCGCUGAACUUAAGCAUAUCAAUAAGCGGAGGAAAAGAAACCAACAGGGAUUGCCUCAGUAACGGCGAGUGAAGCGGCAAAAGCUCAAAUUUGAAAUCUGGCUCUUUUAGGGUCCGAGUUGUAAUUUGUAGAAGAUGUUUCGGGUGUGGCUCCGGUUUAAGUUCUUUGGAAUAUUACAUCAUAGAGGGUGAGAAUCCCGUAUGUGACCGGCAGCCUUCGCCUAUGUGAAACUCUUUCGACGAGUCGAGUUGUUUGGGAAUGCAGCUCAAAAUGGGAGGUAUAUUUCUUCUAAAGCUAAAUAUUGGCCAGAGACCGAUAGCGCACAAGUAGAGUGAUCGAAAGAUGGAAAGC